UGACCGAGCUUCCGCUGCUACGUCUAAAGCUGAUUUACUCAGCUGUCUUUAUACCUGUCUCCGCGUGGGUAAAAGGAGAUGCUUUCAUUGAUGGCUAUUACGGAAACGCUUGGGAACUGAAGAUCAGCCCCGAGGACUCGCUGUGCUUUUCUCCCUGCCACCCCCUCCCCCUCCCUCCUGCCAGAAACCAUCUGACUUNNNNNNNNNNNNNNNNNNNNNNNNNNNNNNNNNNNNNNNNNNNUCCUGGAAGCAGAAAGCAAGGCAGCUGGAGUUGUGUUCUGUUACUCAGCGUGAAAAACUUCCCAGACAGCAGAAGAGGGUGCAAGAAAUGUUUCUAUCUCCGCAUCAAGUCUUCUUGUCCAAAACUGUCUUGUAAACUUUGAUGAGGACUGGGGGAAAAAAAAAAAAGUUUGUGUGUGUGUGCGUGUGUGUGUGGCCAUGUACAAUACAACCCCACACCCCACCCCACAGUCACACACACAUGUCUGAACAAAGGAAAACUGAGUGAAUGGAAAUGAAGGGAAAACACAUUUUCUCACACAGGAACUGACAAGAAUUAAUAUUGUGGAGUUCCCUUCAAAUCAUGACUCCUAAAAUUGUGUUUCAUAUUUAUUUUGUGGUCACUGGGGUCAAAAGAUCUGCUGUGCUGAAGACAUGUUACCUCACCGUGUUCGCAACAGCGAGUGUAUUACAUGCCACGUUAUGGACCAGACUGACUUCUUGAAAGGCUUGAUAGAGGAUUUAUGUUAAUAAUUGCAGCAAUCAGACAAACCACAACCCCAGCGUCUUGGGGUUUCCAGAUCUCAUCUGGCUGUCACUGCCAACUCUAGGCAACCGUCAGCUGGCUGGGCUCAGGGUGGUGGUGUGGCUGCAGCUGCUCCCUGCAACUUGUGCAGACGUCUCGAAAAUACCUAACGGCAGGAGGUUGACUCCAAAGAGAAAGCUUUCUCUUUGUUUGUGGUUGGUUUUAAAUGUUCUGUUCUAGGUGAUCUUGUACCACAUCUGAAGAAGCCCAUUUUAGGGAACCUGAUGAACUGGCAUCAUAUUACUAAUUUAUUUCUUUGAUAUUCUCAUGCCCCAUCUAGGUUGGCAUGCUACCAACCUGCUCACUCCUUAUUCCAUUACUAGAUGUCCUUUAGAAAAAAAGAUUAAAAGAAGGAGGGAGAGGAGGAAGAAACUUUCCUUAUGCUUAUUCCCAAGCUGAUUAAGAGACAUUUCAGGCUCUGUGUACUGUUGAUAGAUAAGGGCAUCUGAAUGACUUCAGAAAUAAAUAGAAAUAACCAGUCA
rnacentral:lncRNA from 1 species